GCCAGUGUGGCAUAGUGGUUUGAGUGUUGGACUACAACUCUGGAGACCAGAGUUUGAUUCCCUGCUUGUCC
rnacentral:tRNA from 1 species